rnacentral:lncRNA from 1 species
CUCCCUGCCGGCCGAGCGGCGCGGGGGAGGAGGCCGGCGGGCGGGUGCAGGGAAGGGGCCUCAGCCCCGGCGCCCGGCGUGGGGAGGAGGGGACCGAGUCGGAGCCGGGGCUUGGCCGCGUACACGACCCCCCCCAUCUCGACCCCCACCCCCGCCCCCGUCCGGUUCCGCGGGCAGGGGGCCCUGGCGGCGAGGCAGCGAUUGUUGGGACCUGGCAUUCACUCAUGCGGGUGAGUGCCCAUAUCGCUGUGCGAAGUUGGACGUACAAAAAGUGAGCCCCCCGGUGAUCUUGAACGAUUGGAGGAAACUAAAGCCCUCCACCGAGGUAAGGGGUGUUUACCCAAUGAUGUGUCUCAGUAUCCUGAGAAUGUUGCCUCUGGUGUUCUGGUUCAGGCAAAGAGUGGGGUGCUAAAACUUAAUCCCCACUUUCCUUUUGGAAUUGUGCAUGUUUCUCCUCAGGUUGUCACUGGUGCAUCAUCUUCAGCUGGGAAUCCGGCCUCCCACACGCACUGCUAAGAGAAUGUGGCAAAUACAAACUUUAGAAAAACGUUGAGCCCUGAUAACCUAAGAGCUUACCAUCUUGUGUAAAUUUCGUGUACCUUAUAAAUAGGUCGGUGAAGAGAUGAAGAGCAAAACAAGCAAGGGCAAACAUCUUUAAAAUGUUCAUAUGCCUGGGGCACCUGGGUGGCUCAGUCAGUUGAGAGACCAACUUCAGCUUGGGUCAUGAUCUCAAGGUUCAUGAGUUCAAGCCCCACACGGGCUUGCUGUCAGCCUGUCUGCCCAGAGCCCCUCUUCGGAUCCUCUGUCUCCCUCUCGCUGCUCUUCCCCUGCAUGUGCUCCCCAAAAUAAAUAAAUAUUAAAAUGUUCAUAUUCCCCAACCCAGAAAAGUUACUUGAAGUCACACAUCUAUGGAUACAAAAAGAUGCAUGUAGGGAAAGCCAUCAUUGUGGGAAAACUAGGAACAGAUUAAAGUUUUAACAGAUUUUUAAGUAAAUGAUAGUAUUUUUAUACAGUGAGUACUACAUAGUCAUUAAAAAUGAUGUGUUACAAUAUUUAGUAGCAUAGAAAAGUAAUUUCACUAUACCUUGUUAAGAAAGAAAAACAC